rnacentral:rRNA from 1 species
GACGAACGCUGGCGGCGUGCCUAAUACAUGCAAGUAGGACGGAGUUGCGAACGGGUGAGUAACGCGUAGGUAACUACCUAUUAGAGGGGGAUAACUACUGGAAACGAUAGCUAAUACCGCAUACUAGUAGAUGUACCUGCGUUGUAUUAGCUAGUAGGUAGGGUAAUGGCCUACCUAGGUAACGAUACAUAGCCGACCGGAGAAGGAGAUCGGCCACAAUGGGAAUGGAGAACGGCUCAGGCUCCCUCGGGAGGGAACAGUAGGGAAUCUUGGGAAAUGGGGGGAACCCUGAACGAACAACGCAGCGUUAGUGGAGAAGGUUUUCGGAUCGGAAAGCUAUGUUGUUAAGGAAGCGGUACUUAACCAGAAAGGGACGGCUAACUACGUGCCAGCAGCCGCGGUAAUAC